rfam:Rattus norvegicus chromosome 2, whole genome shotgun sequence.
GGGGAUUUAGCUCAGUGGUAGAGAGCUUGCCUAGCAAGCACAAGGCCCUGGGUUCGGUCCCCAGCUCCA